rnacentral:SRP_RNA from 1 species
GCCGGGCGCCGUGGCACGUGCCUGUAGUCCCAGCUAUUCAGGAGGCUGAGGCUGGAGGAUCUCUUGAGUCCAGGAGUUCUGGGCUGUAGUGCGCUAUGCCGAUCGGGCAUCCACACUAAGUUCAGCAUCAAUAUGGUGACCUCCCGGGAGCAGGGGACCACCAAGUUGCCUAAAGAGGGGUGAACCGGCCCAGGUCGAAAAUGGAGCAGGUCAAAACUCCAGUGCUGAUCAGUAGUGGGAUUGCGCCUGUGAAUAGCCACUGCACUCCAGCCUGGGCAACAUAGCGAGACCCCGUCUCU